GGAUUCCCCCAGUAACGGCGAGUGAAGAGGGAAAAGCCCAAAUUUGUAAUCUGGCUCUUUUAGAGUCCGAGUUGUAAUUUUGAGAACUGUUUUCUGUGCUGGACCAUGUUUAAGUCUGUUGAAAAACAGCAUCAUUGAGGGUGAUAAUCCCGUUCAUGAUAUGGACUACCAGUGCUCUAUGAUACAGUCUCUAAGAGUCGAGUUGUUUGGGAAUGCAGCUCAAAGUGGGUGGUAAAUUCCAUCUAAGGCUAAAUAUAGGUGAGAGACCGAUAGCAAACAAGUACCGUGAGGGAAAGAUGAAAAGAACUUUGGAAAGAGAGUUAACAGUACGUGAAAUUGCUGAAAGGGAAACAAUUGAAGUUAGCCUUGUUAUUUCCAGUUCAACCCUUUUAGGGUGUAUUCUGGUGAUUAACGACCAACAUCAGUCUUUGGGUGCUGGAUAAGGGUUUUGGAAAUGUAGCAGUCUAGGCUGUGUUAUAGUCCAUUACUUUGAUACAGUGCUUAGGAUUGAGGAUCGCAGUAAGCCAAUUUUGGUGGAUCAAUUUAUUGGUCUUCUUAC
rnacentral:rRNA from 6 species